rfam:Phytophthora infestans T30-4 supercont1.26 genomic scaffold, whole genome shotgun sequence.
CCGAGUGUAGCUCAGUUGGUAGAGCGAUUGACUGUAGUGUUCUAUACUGUGUUUCAGUACUCUCGGAAAUCAAUUGGUCGCUGGUUCGAUUCCGGCCACUCGAA